rnacentral:rRNA from 1 species
UACGUAAGGCGCAAGCGUUGUCCGGAAUUAUUGGGCGUAAAGAGCUCGUAGGCGGUUUGUCGCGUCUGGUGUGAAAACUCAAGGCUCAACCUUGAGCUUGCAUCGGGUACGGGCAGACUAGAGUGCGGUAGGGGUGACUGGAAUUCCUGGUGUAGCGGUGGAAUGCGCAGAUAUCGGGAGGAACACCAAUGGCGAAGGCAGAUCUCUGGGCCGUAACUGACGCUGAGGAGCGAAAGCAUGGGGAGCGAACAGG